rnacentral:rRNA from 1 species
GCAGGCGCGAAACCUUUACACUGCACGACAGUGCGAUAGGGGGAUCCCAAGUGCACAGGCAUAGCGCCUGUGCUUUUCGGUACCCUAAGGCGGUACCAGAAUAAGGGCUGGGCAAGACCGGUGCCAGCCGCCGCGGWAAUACCGGCAGCCCAAGUGAUGGCCGAUCUUAUUGGGCCUAAAGCGUCCGUAGCUGGCCGUACAAGUCCAUCGGGAAAUCCACCUGCUCAACAGGUGGGCGCCCGGUAGAAACUGUGCGGCUUGGGACCGGAAGGCGCGACGGGUACGUCCGGGGUAGGAGUGAAAUCCCGUAAUCCUGGACGGACCGCCGAUGGCGAAAGCACGUCGCGAGAACGGAUCCGACAGUGAGGGACGAAAGCCAGGGUCUCGAACCGGAUUARAUACCCGGGUAGUCCUGGCCGUAAACAAUGUCUGCUAGGUGUGGCUCCCACUACGAGUGGGUGCUGUGCCGUAGGGAAGCCGYUAAGCAGACCGCYUGGGAAGUACGUCCGCAAGGAUGAAACUUAAAGGAAUUGGCGGGGGAGCACUACAACCGGAGGAGCCUGCGGWUUAAUUGGAUUCAACGCCGG